rnacentral:sRNA from 1 species
UACUCCCUGCUGUACACGACAGCUUUGCCCAUAAUACUCCGAUAACUGUAUUUUGGGAGCCCGGGCGUCCGCGGCGGAUUGAAGACCUCCCCUUUCGAGGGACGAAGGGAUCAUGAAUCCGGGGAGAGGGCGUACCCACCUUUGUCGAAAGACGGGGUUGACAGCUGGCAAAGCAUCGAUACGGCGGGGCAACG